rnacentral:rRNA from 1 species
UACGUAGGGUGCAAGCGUUAAUCGGAAUUACUGGGCGUAAAGCGUGCGCAGGCGGCUUUGCAAGACAGAUGUGAAAUCCCCGGGCUCAACCUGGGAACUGCAUUUGUGACUGCAUCGCUAGAGUACGGCAGAGGGGGGAUGGAAUUCCGCGUGUAGCAGUGAAAUGCGUAGAUAUGCGGAGGAACACCGAUGGCGAAGGCAAUCCCCUGGGCCUGUACUGACGUCA